rnacentral:rRNA from 1 species
UACGUAGGAGGCGAGCGUUGUCCGGAUUUACUGGGCGUAAAGGGCGCGCAGGCGGCCCACCAAGUACGAUGUGAAAUCUCCCUGCUCAACGGGGAGGGUGCACUGUAAACUGGUGAGCUAGAGGACGGUAGAGGGGGGUGGAAUUGCUGGUGUAGCGGUGAAAUGCGUAGAGAUCAGCAGGAACACCCGUGGCGAAGGCGGCCCCCUGGGCCCGUAC